UAAGAAAGCUCUACCACAAGUCAGGCCGGGGCUAUGCUCUCUUUCUUUCUGUGUGGCAUGAUACCGGGGAGAGGAGGGAAUGCGGGGAGUGCCUGUAUUCCCGUGGUAGUUCCUCAACAACUCCUGUGCCAACAGGAUGUUAUCUCCACUUCUAAUCGGAUUAAUAUCUCCUCUUGUAGUGUUGUGCAGUGUGCUUGGCACCCAAAGCUAAACCACAUCAGGCAAAACCUGUUAUUCUCAACCUCAUGCUUCACCUUUAUUAAGAGAUCAGCCAAGUCAAAAGUGUCAGCAAGAGAAAGAAUUGAAGGAUUCAAACAAGUCCCACAAGCCUAACAGGCCAGACAAGGCUUUGGCGAAACCGCGAAAGAGUUGGCUAUUGUUAGAAACCUAUUUGAGUUCCAUUGCAGCAAGGCGGUGAGACAUGAAUGGAGGAAGAUCCAAGAGAUGCUACACUAAAGCCAAACUCUGAUAGGUAUAGGAGGAGAAACAGUCACAAUGUAAAGUAUCUUUUCCUUGUGAUCUCGGCUAAUAUUGCAGCUUAGAUUUCAAGAUUUGAGAUUCGGCAACUUGUAAACGUAUAGCUCAUUAAAAUUUUAUCCCUACGACAGAUUUUGAAAGCCAAAAUUAGAUGUAGUUAUAUAUUGAAGAGCAUCUCUCAGAUUUCAGU